CCCUCCCACUCUCAGUGCUACCACGGACUGACAGGCUCCCUGAGGACCAGCUGCUGCCUGGUACCUGUGGUCACCUGAACUCUCUUCAGCCCCACAUGUGAGCACCUGCUGCAGAGAUGUACGACACCCGUGCCAGACCUUCCCAAGCCCUGCCAGUGCCACCAACACCUCCAUGCUGUGCGUCCCAAAGUGGGCUACGUGUACUGGGCGUGAUACGCAACAUCAACUAAGGGAGCUCUUCUGGGUCCAAGAAGUGGAAGCAGUCUUUGUCCCAGUGCAGUCUCUUGCUGGUGAAUGAGGUGCUGCUGUUUGUCUAAAGAAAAGUACAGAAUUCGAUGCUGCGGGACCAAACUGAGCUGUGGGUGUGUUGCUACAUCUUUGUGUGCCAUUGACUCAAUGGGCUAUAAACACUUCAUUUUUCCAGCACUGUCUGAGAACGAAAUUCUCCACACUGCGAA